rnacentral:other from 1 species
AAGUACCUGGAAUGUUCGAUAGGCUUUAUUUAAAUUCAACCGACACGUUGAAUACGGGAGUUCAAGUCCUUCAAUGUACGUCAUGCCUCCGAUGGAGGAAGGCAGAAAAUGAGGGCAGGACACCCACCUGAGUUAUCUCGGGUAUGAAUUUAUUGAGGCCGCGGCAUUUUGGGUUUUCU